CCCUCCCCUCCCCUCCCCCCACCCCCAAACUCCCCCGCGGCCGCCUCCGUCCCGCCCUUCCUCCCUGGGCCAUCGCGCGGCGCGCUCCUGCCGUCCCCGCCCCGCCCGCGGUCUCUGGCCGCCGAGCCUCGAGGUGCGAGCUAGGUCGCCUCCGUCCGGCGACCCUCCUGCUCAAUCCCACUCCACGAUGCGCGCCGCUUAGAUCCCCAUGCUCCUGUGGCGCCGCAAAUGCGUCGCCGAGUGCUGCAGGCACGCCGGGGCCCCGCCCGCGGCGCAACCGUCCCCACCCCCUCGCCGCUGCCGCCGCCGCCUCUCCGUGCUCGCCGCCUGGGCGCACCAGCCGGACGACGACUCCACCUCCAGCGGCGAGGAGAGGCCCAGCUGCGCUCCUCCCCGUGAGGUUAUCUGGAGAAGGGGCUGCGCUCCCGGCGAGAAUCCCCGGAGGAGGAGCUCUGCUCCGAGCCUGAGCUCUGCCGGGGUCGUCAGGACGCUCCAGCGCCUGGAGAGGAAGCCUGCCAUCGCGUUCGCCUACUUCAAGGACACCGAGAGCAUCGGCUUUCGCCAUGACCUUGCCACCUACGCCGAGAUCAUCCGCGUCCUGUCACAUAAGGGCCAGGGGAGGAUUCUGUUCUCCUUGUUCAGUGACAUCCUCUCGCCGGCCGAUGGCGGCGGCGGCGGCCCUGAGAUCGUGCCGCUCAUGGAUCAGCUCAGAAGCACAUGCACUACUUCGUAUGCUCUCUUGUUUGCGACAGACUGCUUGAUCAAAACAUGCACCACUUGUUGCAGUGCAGAGGACACAAUAGGGCUGUUUGGUGACCUCUGCAGGCUUGGAAUCGUCCCGGCAGCUUGGACUUGCAACAUACUUCUCAAAUUUGCAGCCGAGGGCGGUGACUCGGAGGUUGUUGUAUCGGCUUAUGAUCAAAUCAAGGAAUUUGGAUUGACUUUGGAUGCUCACGCGUUAGUCCUCAUCACUAGGUCUCUCUUUCGAGAAAAGAAGGCAGACAAAGCAUUCCAAAUGUGGGUUGAGAUGAUUGAAAUGGGGGUGAAACCAGAUGUAAUUGCAUACUCAUCAUUUAUAACUGGUCUGUGUGAUUGCGGAAAGGUUGAUUUGGCUUAUGCGAUUCUGCAAGAGAUCAACAGAGAGGGGAUUCAAGUUGAGGACAUGGCUUAUAACACAGUAAUGGAUGGGCUAUGCAAGGAAAUGAGACUGCAGGAGGCUGAAAUGCUCUUGGAGAACAAGACCAGACAAGGGCUCACACCAGAUAUAUAUGGUUAUAGCUAUCUCAUUCGGAGUUAUGGCAAAGCGGGCAACCUACUCAAGGUGUUGGACCAUUAUCAAGCCAUGGUAUCCCAUGGUUUCGAAACAAACUGCCACAUUGUGAGUUAUCUUCUACAAUGCUUUAUGAAGUUAGGCAUGACAUCUCAAGUUACAGAGCAUUUCCAGAAACUCAGAGAUUCGGGACUCCAUCUAGAUGGCGUUCUGUAUAACAUUGCCAUUGAUGCUUAUUGCAAGGAUGGGAACAUGGAUGAGGCGGUUAAGCUACUGAGAGAAAUGAAGGCUGAGGGUCUGACACCUGACAGAUUUCACUAUACAUGCGUGAUCAAGGGUUAUUGCUUGAAGGGAGAUGUACCAAAUGCACGUCAAGCAUUUGAAGUGAUGCUGAAGGCCAAUGUAAAGCCAGAUGUAGUUACAUAUAACAUAUUGGCCAGUGGAUUUUGCAAGAAUGGUCUUGUUACGGAGGUGUUUGACCUUCUAGACCAUAUGGCGGAUCAAGGGUUAGAGCCUAAUUCACUCACUUAUGGUAUAAUAAUUGAUGGGUUUUGCAGAAGUGGCAACCUUAGUGAAGCUGAGGUGUUAUUUAAUAUAGUAGAAGAGAAAGGAAUCGAACGCAUCGAAGUAUUGUACAGUUCAAUGGUUUGUGGCUAUUUGCAUUCAGGCUGGACUGAUCAUGCUUACAUGCUUUUUCUUAGGGUUGCUAAGCAAGGAAAAUUUGUGGAUCAUUUCUCAUGUUCAAAGUUGAUGAAUGACCUUUGUAGGGAUGGAAAUGCCCAGGGAGCUUCAACAGUUUGCAGCAUGAUGUUAGAAAAUAAUGUUAUUCCUGAUGUAAUUUCAUAUAGCAAACUCAUAUCAGCCUAUUGUCAGACAGGAGAUAUGCACAAUGCUCUCUUAUGGUUUCAUGAUAUGGUUCAGCGAGGACUUUCUGUUGAUGUUAUUGUAUACACUGUACUAAUGAAUGGUUACUGCAAGGUUGGCCAGAUGGAAGAAGCUUGCAAAUUGUUUGAUCAGAUGACAAGUUUAGGUAUUAAGCCUGACGUAAUUGCAUAUACCAUGCUACUGGAUGGUCACCUAAAAGAGUACCUGCAGCGGUGCUGGCAGGGCGUUAGUAAGGAGAGAAGGAUCUAUGUUCUUAGAACAAAGCAGAACAGGUUGCUCAGCUCUAUGAAAAAAAUGGAAAUCAAACCUGAUGUACCCUUUUACACCGUAUUGAUAGAUGGGUACUGCAAAGCCGGUGAUUUUGAGAAAGCCCGGGGAGAAUUUGAUGAAGUGUUGCAGAAAGGGCUGACUCCUGAUCAACAUGUAUACGCAGCUCUGAUAUGUGGAUAUUGCAGCCAGGGCGAAAUAGAGAAGGCACAAGAUCUUUUUGAAGAAAUGGUAGACAGGGGAAUAAAACCACAUGUACUGGCCUUUUCUGUAUUAAAUCAGAAAACCUUGAGGGAAAGGCAGUAUAAGUGACAUGUAUGAUUUUGCUGCAGUUAUAUCCACUGAAAUCUCGUCAGCGAGGUUUGGGAUGCGACUGCAUCAGAACCCAAGUUACUUGUCUAUCUGAAGUCUUACAGGAACACAGUACCCGUCCCAAGGCACUGGUCUCAAAAGAGGAAAUUCUUGCAGGGAUGCUGCAAUUUCCUGGGAGCAAGGUCUUGGUGGUACUGUACUUGAGUGUUUGAUCUAGUUGAUUCAUGCUAGGCAUUCCCUUGAAAGACAUUUAGGUCCAUCUAGGAUCUUGAUCCUCGGCCCUCCUUUGCUUGCUUAUACAAGGCAAGAAAGGUAUCGAAAAACAACCAUUCCAACUUCCUGACUUCAUUGCUGCAAGUGGAAUAGAAAAAAUAAGACAGUAUCUUAAUAUCUUGGUCCUUUGUAGCAAUGCUAUGGAGACAUUGUUUCUCCCUUGUCAACUUGGCAUAUAUCGAGAAAGAGGAUAGCAAAAAGUUGAAGCAGAAGCAGCGGGAGCGUAUGCAGCCAAAAAUGGGCAAGAUGGAUAUAGAUUAUCAGGUUUUACACGGAAACCAAAAUUGACUAGUCAUGGUGACCUUUACUACGAAGGAAAUAAUUUGAGCAGGUCAAACUUAGGGAAAUGAAGCCAGGUAUGCUGUCCCAAGAACUUAAAGAAGCACUUGGUAUGCCAGAAGGUGCACCGCCCCCAUGGCUUAUAAACAUGCAGCUAUCAACUGACAUCAAAUAAUUUUGGCCGAGAUAUGGUCCUGCUCCCUCUUAUCCUUCACUGAAGAUUCCUAGUCUGAAUGCCCCAAUUCCUCCUGGUGCUACUUUUGGUUACCGGCCUGGGGAAUGGGGAAAGGGGAAAGGCGAAAGCCUCCUGUGGAUGAGCUCUACCAGUCAGCUGACUGUUGUGGUGCAUUGUAUUCCAGGAGGAAUCUGUUGACCGCAGCAAGCAUUGGGGAGACUUGGAGGAGGAAGAGGAAGAGGAGGAAGAGGAAGAGGAACUAAUGGA